rnacentral:lncRNA from 1 species
GAGUUAGUAGUAUAGACCUGACCUGGAGAGAGCACGAUGGGGCUGGGGAUUUACACUGGACAGGAUCUGAAGUACCCUGGGCUGGCCUUGAACCUAUGAAGUAGCUGAGGAUGACCUUGAACUCUUUGUCUUCCUUCCUCAACCUAGUACUACAGGGCUGUUCCUUCAUGCUGAGUUUUAAACUGUGCUAGGAAUUGAACCCAGGGCCUCAAGCACAUAAGGUAAACACCUUUUCGUCUGAGCUUCAGUGACAGCCUCUAAAUAUUAUCCCUCAUGACUUUGUUUUUAGCCAUAAGAGGUGGAACUGAAGAAAAUGCACGGCAGUCCUCCUACUGCAAUUGCCCUUCAUCUCACAGAACUGAAAGUUCAUUCCACUUUUCUAUGAUUACUGCAAGUCGUCUCAGUAGACCUUUGGAUCUCUGCAAACCUCAUCUAGGAGACUGUGCUAUGUAGUAUGAAUGUAGUAGAGAAAGCACUAGGUUCUAAAUUUUUUUAAAUUUGGUUUGUUUGCUUUUCAAGACAGGGUUUCUCU